rnacentral:misc_RNA from 1 species
UCCAAAUUGAGCAUGCCUGGCUCCCUGUAUGCCUGCAGGAAUGUUAUCUGAGACACAGCAUAAGGGACUGUUCGAACUGAGAGGGUUGCCGGUAAAUGAUGGCACUGGAAAUUGGCUGAUUAAGGAAAAAUCUGGGGGUUGUGGAAAUCUCAACUUUUUUCUUGGAGGUGAGAAGGGUGAGAGAUGAAUGGCGGGCAUGUUCGAUACCAAUUCAACCAGCCAAGGGCUAACACGCUUUACAUUUUGGAGUAAAUCUGGCUCAUCCCAUG